rnacentral:tRNA from 1 species
GCCCCGGUGGCGAAACUGGUAGACGCACAGGACUUAAAAUCCUGAGUUGGGUCACACUGACGUGCCGGUUCAAGUCCGGCCCGGGGCACCA